AGCGGACAGAUGGGAGCUUGCUCCCUGAUGUUAGCGGCGGACGGGUGAGUAACACGUGGGUAACCUGCCUGUAAGACUGGGAUAACUCCGGGAAACCGGGGCUAAUACCGGAUGGUUGUUUGAACCGCAUGGUUCAAACAUAAAAGGUGGCUUCGGCUACCACUUACAGAUGGACCCGCGGCGCAUUAGCUAGUUGGUGAGGUAACGGCUCACCAAGGCAACGAUGCGUAGCCGACCUGAGAGGGUGAUCGGCCACACUGGGACUGAGACACGGCCCAGACUCCUACGGGAGGCAGCAGUAGGGAAUCUUCCGCAAUGGACGAAAGUCUGACGGAGCAACGCCGCGUGAGUGAUGAAGGUUUUCGGAUCGUAAAGCUCUGUUGUUAGGGAAGAACAAGUACCGUUCGAAUAGGGCGGUACCUUGACGGUACCUAACCAGAAAGCCACGGCUAACUACGUGCCAGCAGCCGCGGUAAUACGUAGGUGGCAAGCGUUGUCCGGAAUUAUUGGGCGUAAAGGGCUCGCAGGCGGUUUCUUAAGUCUGAUGUGAAAGCCCCCGGCUCAACCGGGGAGGGUCAUUGGAAACUGGGGAACUUGAGUGCAGAAGAGGAGAGUGGAAUUCCACGUGUAGCGGUGAAAUGCGUAGAGAUGUGGAGGAACACCAGUGGCGAAGGCGACUCUCUGGUCU
rnacentral:rRNA from 1 species